UCCGAGUUGUCCCCGGCAGUCUCCUAUGAGUCCCCACCAUUACGUGCUGGCAACAUAGGACAAGGGUUGCGCUCGUUGCGGGACUUAACCCAACAUCUCACGACACGAGCUGACGACAGCCAUGCACCACCUGUCACGGGCCCUAAUGGACACCGUAUUUCUACGGCUUUUCCCGUGAUGUCAAGCCCAGGUAAGGUUCUUCGGGUUGCAUCGAAUUAAGCCGCAUGCUCCGCCGCUUGUGCGGGGACCCGUCAAUUCCUUUGAGUUUUAGCCUUGCGGCCGUACUCCCCAGGCGGGGUACUUAAUGCGUUAGCUUCGGCACGGCAUCCGUUGAUCGGGACGCCACACCUAGUACCCAACGUUUACGGCGUGGACUAC
rnacentral:misc_RNA from 1 species